CCUACGGGUGGCAGCAGUAGGGAAUAUUGCUCAAUGGGGGAAACCCUGAAGCAGCAACGCCGCGUGGAGGAUGAAGGUUUUCGGAUUGUAAACUCCUUUUGUUAGAGAAGAUAAUUACGGUAUCUAACGAAUAAGCACCGGCUACCUCGGUGCCAGCAGCCGCGGUAAUACGGAGGGUGCAAGCGUUACCCGGAAUCACUGGGCGUAAAGAGCGCGUAGGCGGGGUAGCAAGUCAGAUGUGAAUUCCUAUGGCUUAACCAUAGAACUGCAUUUGAAACUGUUAGUCUAGAGUAUGGGAGGGGUAGGUGGAAUUCUUGGUGUAGGGGUGAAAUCCGUAGAGAUCGAGAGGAAUACUCAUUGCGAAGGCGGGCUGCUAGAACAUAACUGACGCUGAUGCGCGAAAGCGUGGGGAGCAAACAGGAUUAGAUACCCGGGUAGUC
rnacentral:rRNA from 1 species